rnacentral:rRNA from 1 species
UACAGAGGUCCCGAGCGUUGUUCGGAUUCACUGGGCGUAAAGGGUGCGUAGGUGGUGAGGUAAGUCGGAUGUGAAAUCUCCAAGCUCAACUUGGAAACUGCAUUGGAAACUACCUUGCUAGAGGAUUUGAGGGGGGAUUGGAAUUCCUGGUGUAGCGGUGAAAUGCGCAGAUAUCAGGAAGAACACCCGUGGCGAAGGCGGCUCUCUGGGACGGUACUGACGCUGAGACGCGAAAGCGUGGGGAGCGAACAGG